CUGCUGGGGAGAGAUAUGGUGUACGUGACCGUCGAUACCUGCUGCGGUAAGGAUGAGAUGUUCGCCGGAGAUUGCAUCGGUCGAAGGACCGGUUACCAGGUCAGGCGAUACGCCUUCCAUUAUAUCCGGGUUACCGGCUUUUCCGAUACCGGCAAUCUUGCCGUCCUUGAUGCCGACAUCUGCCUUUACCACGCCCAGAAUAGGGUCGAGGAUAGUCACAUUGGUUAUCACGAGGUCGAGGGAGCCUCCCUUGACCGAAUAGCGGUUGGCAAGUCCCAUGCCAUCGCG
rnacentral:sRNA from 1 species